rnacentral:lncRNA from 1 species
UCAGGAGGGUCUGGGGGUUGGUCUCAAGAAGAGAGAGGAGAGGAGCAUUCCAGGCAAAGAGGAGGGCAGGUAUAAGGUGGUGGUGAGGAAAAAGCUGAAAGCAGCUCAGCCUGGCAGAGGCACAGAGAGCAAGAGGCAAUAGAGAUGAGGUUGGAGAGCUAGACAAGGGCAGGCUCCUGGAAAGAUGUGGACGCCAAACUAGGGAGACCGGACUUCCUCAUAGAGACAGGGAGCUGUGGAUGGUCAUAAGUGGGUAGAUCAGAAGGCUGGUACCAGCAACAGCAACAGCAGACUUCACAGGAAUUUGCCUCUGUUGUGACUCAGGAGUGUCCCCGAGCCGUGAGCUUCCUGAAAUGCUCUGGUGGCCCCGGAGCCUAGCAUGGAACCUGAUGCACAGAAGGCCUCUAAUACAUGAGUCAAUUGUUGAAUAGCUGAAGGAAACGAUGGGUGUCCAAGACAGCCUCCAACCCCCAGCCCUGCCGACCCAGAGCUUGGCACACAGUAGGUUCUCAGGAAAGGUUGGCAGUAUUCUAUUUUCUGAAUGAAUGUGAUUUCAGGCAAGGUCAGGGGCUGGGUUAUGUGGGGGGUAUAAGGGAGGGUCUGGAUGCGGGAAACGUGGCCAAAAGGGAAGCUUGGGGGCAGUGCAGUAGGGGAAGGGGGCAAUGGGGGUGUCUGGAGAGGUGGGAAAGGAACGAAGCUCCCAGAACGCUGUCCCUCCGCGCCCCAGGUCAGCCGGCGUGGGGUCCGGUCAGUCCGCCUCCAGCCCCGCCAGCGAGACCCUUCCCCCUCGCCCGGGUGGCGAGACCCCCCUGGCUCGCACGCUUGGCCCUCGGGGUUGGGAGGCGUGUGUGUCGCUUUAAAAGCUCCCUCCCGGCGCGGCGGGCCGGCCCCUUCCCUGACAGCGCCGAGGCAAGCGGAGCCAAGCGAGCCGGGCGGCCUUUA